UAAGUCUCAGUUCGGAUUGAAGGCUGAAAUUCGCCUUCAUGAAGCCGGAAUUGCUAGUAAUGGCAGGUCAGCAUACUGCCGUGAAUACGUUCCCGGGCCUUGUACACACCGCCCGUCACACCAUGAGAGUUGGGAAUACCCGAAGCCUGUGAGCUAACUUUUAGAGGCAGCAGUCGAAGGUAGAAUCAAUGAUUGGGGUGAAGUCGUAACAAGGUAGC
rnacentral:rRNA from 1 species